rnacentral:rRNA from 1 species
AGUCAAUAGAUACCCAGGUAGUCCACGCCGUAAACGAUGAGUAUAGGUGUAGGAGGUAUCGACUCCUUCUGUGCCGCAGUUAACACAAUAAGUACUCCGCCUGGGAAGUACGGUCGCAAGAUUAAAACUCAAAGGAAUUGACGGGGGCCCGCACAAGCAGCGGAGCAUGUGGUUUAAUUCGAAGCAACGCGAAGAACCUUACCUAGACUUGACAUCUCCUGAAUAGUGUAGAGAUACGUGAAGCCCUUCGGGGCAGGAAGACAGGUGGUGCAUGGUUGUCGUCAGCUCGUGUCGUGAGAUAUUGGGUUAAGUCCCGCAACGAGCGCAACCCUUAUUACUAGUUGCUACCAUUAAGUUGAGCACUCUAGUGAGACUGCCCGGGUUAACCGGAGGAAGGCGGGGAUGACGUCAAAUCAUCAUGCCCCUUAUGUCUAGGGCAACACACGUGCUACAAUA